GGGACGAACGCUGGCGGCGUGCUUAACACAUGCAAGUCGAGCGGAAAGGCCCUUCGGGGUACUCGAGCGGCGAACGGGUGAGUAACACGUGAGUAACCUGCCCUGGACUUUGGGAUAACCCUCGGAAACGGGGGCUAAUACCGGAUAUGACACGCUCUCGCAUGGGAUGUGUGUGGAAAGUUUUUCGGUCUGGGAUGGGCUCGCGGCCUAUCAGCUUGUUGGUGGGGUGAUGGCCUACCAAGGCGACGACGGGUA
rnacentral:rRNA from 1 species